GUGCAGCAAAGCUAACAGGAGAGUGCAAGAGGAAUCAGCCGAGCACAGUCUGCACAUGCCCACACAGGAUUAGGAGGUCUAAUCACACAACUUUGGUGGAAAGCUGCAUCUCUCUGUAAAACAGUGGAGCCAGUGGUGAAAGCUGACGCAACACUAACAAUAGCACACAUGCUGCCUUGGUCAGCGGGGACUUCAGCCUUGGCUUUAGGGAUAGAGCCCUUCAUUCCAGUUAAAAGGGAAGUGCGUGGUUUGUCUGCUAUUCCUGGCCCAGUGAUGUGCAAACUAUACUGUUUUGCCUUUUAACAGUGAAGAAAGAAGAAGAAAGAAAAAGGAAACACACCCAUUAAUUACACUGCCAUUCAUUUUUGAGGGGAAACCCUGGCUUAUGUCCCAAGACUAAUGAAUAAAGACCUUUCAGUGUUUCAGUUUAUGCAACUCAAGUUUGUUCUUAUCUAACCUUUUUCUACCUUAUCUUAAUGAGUGCUACUUAAUUAUGCAGUGGCCACUACAAGGGCGAUGCCUCUCUCUCGUUCAUUCCUAAACCUCAAUGUCAUGGUUCCCUCCCUUCCUUGAAAACAACUUGAUUCCACAGUGACUCAAAUAAAAACAUCCACAGAAAACAGC